UAGGCUUCAUGAAGUACGGAAUGAGAGAGC
rnacentral:piRNA from 1 species